rnacentral:rRNA from 1 species
CCUACGGGUGGCAGCAGUGGGGAAUAUUGCACAAUGGGGGAAACCCUGAUGCAGCGACGCCGCGUGAGUGAAGAAGUAUUUCGGUACGUAAAACUCUAUUAGCAGGGAAGAAAAUGACGGUACCUGACUAAGAAGCCCCGGCUAACUACGUGCCAGCAGCCGCGGUAAUACUAAGGGGGAAAGCCUUAUCCGGAUUUACUGUGUGUAAAGGGAGCGUAGACGGCAGCGCAAGUCUGAAGUGAAGUCCCAUGGCUUAACCAUGGAACGGCAUUGGAAACUGUGCAGCUGGAGUGCAGGAGAGGUAAGCGGAAUUCCUAGUGUAGCGGUGAAAUGCGUAGAGAUUAGGAGGAACACCAGUGGCGAAGGCGGCUUACUGGACUGUAACUGACGUUGAGGCUCGAAAGCGUGGGGAGCAAACAGGAUUAGAUACCCGGGUAGUC